UUAACACAUGCAAGUCGAACGGAUUUUUGGGGCUUGCUCCAAAAGUUAGUGGCGCACGGGUGAGUAACGCGUGGGAAUCUGCCCUAGAGUGGGGAACAACCUUUGGAAACGAAGGCUAAUACCGCAUAAUCCCUUAGGGGGAAAGGCUUCGGCCGCUCUUGGAUGAUCCCGCGUCUGAUUAGCUAGUUGGUUGGGUAACGGCUGACCAAGGCGACGAUCAGUAGCUGGUCUGAGAGGAUGAUCAGCCACACUGGGACUGAGACACGGCCCAGACUCC
rnacentral:rRNA from 1 species